rnacentral:tRNA from 1 species
UUUAAAAUUAGUUAAACUCAUAAUAUAAGCUUGUCAUGCUUAAGUUACUUAAAACUAGUAUUUUUAAAA